AACGCGAAGAACCUUACCUGGGUUUGACAUGCACGGAUUAGUGGGUGGAAACACUCAUGAGGCCCGCAAGGGUACAACGUGCACAGGUGCUGCAUGGCUGUCGUCAGCUCGUGCUGUGAAGUGUUUGGUUAAGUCCAUUAACGAGCGCAACCCCUGUCGUUAGUUGCUAACGCGUCAUGGCGAGGACUCUAACGAGACUGCCGGCGUCAAGCCGGAGGAAGGUGGGGAUGACGUCAAGUCCUCAUGGCCCUUACAUCCAGGGUUGCAAACGUGCUACAAUGGCGCGCACAAAGCGACGCGAGGCCGCAAGGCGGAGCAAAUCGCAAAAAACGCGCCCCAGUUCGGAUUGCAGGCUGCAACCCGCCUGCAUGAAGUCGGAAUCGCUAGUAAUCGGAGAUCAGCUACGCUCCGGUGAAUAAGUUCCCGGGCCUUGUACACACCGACGCAC
rnacentral:rRNA from 1 species